UUGAAAAUCCAGAGGUAUGAAAACACUCCAUUAGGAUAAAAUAACUAUUUUAUUUUAUAAAUAUAUUACAUACCCCCUUUAAAGAUGGAAUAAUGUAGAUUAAGCCUUCAGUACUGCAUUAUAGGAUUUUUCACAAAUUUAUUUGUUUUAAUUUUUAAAUGUACAAUGGUAUUUUGCCUGCAUGUAUAUUUGCAUGAAGGUGUCGGAUCCUCUGGAACAGGAGCUAUAGACAGUUGGGAGUUACCACGUGUAAAUGCCAUGUGGGUGCUGGAAAUGGAACCCGCUCCUCUAGAAGACCAGCCAGUGCUGUUAACUCCUGAGCCACCUCUCCAUGCCUGCAUUAUAGAAUUAUUAAAUCAAUAUUUUAGUUAUACAAAUGAUUUUGAUGUCAAUUUGACAUUAUAAAACAAAGCUAAACAUUAGGAAAUACAGCUUUUCUCCAUCUUUGAAUUAAUGGUAAUUAAGAUAAUUGGUUGAUCGGUAGGGCUUCAGUUUCUAUUUUGCUUUGAAUUGUUUAGUUUUAGUUCCCCUGAGUUCUCGUUUUCAUAGCUUUGAUGAUAAAUGUGCCCAAUCCAGCCCUGAACAUGUUUCUAUCUUUCUUGUUUUCUUCACUUUUCAGCUCUAAUUCUUUUGACAAUGUAAGUCCAGUUGUGUCUUACAAGGUUGACCUCGCCGUUUUGGCUGCUGUGGAGAUAAGAGGGUAAGUGUGCAUUUCAAGCUGAGUAUCUCGUUGUUGUUGUUGUGCUUGCUUCUGAAAUGUGGCUGCGGGACUUUCUGCAGGCAGCCACCCUGCCACCCCAGCUUAGUGCUGCUUUACCAAGGCAGUGGACGAUGUAGAGAUAAGGCCCUGACUGUUCUUCGAGUCCCAAGUAUCUUUCUGGUGGUCUUUCGAAAAGGCAUGGUAGCAGCAAUCUUAAAGAAGUUGAUUGAACCUUCACAACACUUGCUUACUAGUUCAUCUGUUGCAUGCUGAUUUAGCAACGGUGGCUUUUAUGCAUAUGGUCAUCUGUAAGCUUUUCCUUUAUGCCUUUUUAAAAUUAGCUCUGAUUUUAUUUAGCUGAAUAUAGGAUAUUUAGGAAAAUGAACUGAUUACACUGUUUGAUAUUCAUGGUAGUUUUUUUUUGUUUGUCAUUGUUUAGAGUUUCAAGUCCAGAUCAUAUCUUUCUUCCAAUUCCAAAUUGGGAGUACAAGGAAAACCCUGAGACUGAAGAAGACGUUGGGCCUAUUGUUCAGCACAUAUAUGAGGUUUGCAGUCAUUGGACCUAAUAGAAAGCUAGUGAAGGGGUCAAUGGGGAAAGCAACUAAACCUUUUAAAACCAAUUCUAUUUCAUCUUUAUUUGCAAUUUGCAUAGUGUAAACAUGUACCAGAAGUACUAUUUGUAAGUUCAUUUUUAUAGACAAAUACCUAUAUUUGUUUAAUGAACAUAAAAUCAACUCUUGAGUAAAAGAGAUAGCUCUGUGUGUGCCCCAUGAAAUUUUGAAGUUCUGACUAAAAAACUGGAAAUGCCUGUAAUUAUGCAAAGUUUUAUUGCUUCUACGAAGGUUAUUAAGUCAGCAUUCAGUAACUCUUUAACAGCUUUCUAUACACUUUCAUCCUCGUAGAUCUUCCUGUUGAGAGAUAAGCAUCUGUUUGGCCUGUGUGUACAGUGGUCAUGCUUGAAGUCUAUCAGUAGCAACUGCUGCUCUUCAGAUCCCGUUUUGGAUAGGAUUUCUAGUGCUAACAUUGUAGAAGAAUUGUAGAACUAAUUAUGGUCCAAGGUGCUUACGUUUUUCUUUUCCUUAUUAGCUGAGAAACAAUGGUCCAAGUUCAUUCAGCAAGGCAAUUCUAAAUCUCCAGUGGCCUUACAAAUACAACAACAACACUCUGUUGUACAUUCUUCAUUACGACAUUGACGGGCCAAUGAACUGCACGGCAGAUACAGAGAUCAACCCUUUGAGAAUCAAGGUACUGUGCUUUAAGUAGCUCUUUAUUAUCAUAACUUUUAUUUCUUCCUAAACAUAUAAAUGAAACUUAAAAUAAAACAACUAUUUUGAUGUGUGAACUCUGCAAGAAGUUUUUGAGUUCACAACCAAUACACUAAUAAUUAGCCCAUUUAUGCAAUAGGUAAGAAAUCUGUGAAAUUCUUGAGGACCUUAUGUUUAUGAGUGGUCAAUAAACCUCAGGAGAUAUUCCUGACCAUGGCCCAUUGCAAUAUCAGUUUGUCAAAUGUAUAACACUCUAUUUAAAGCUAUUCUAUUGUUGAAAUUUCUGUUUUUAGAGUAAGAUGUACUAUUUUACUUGUGACUUGAUUUACAGAGUCUAGGGAAGUGCCAUUUUAUAGGACUUUAUAUACUUUUGGUGAUAGUGAUCUUUGUUCUAGAGUAUAUAUUUAUCUAAAAAUAUUACAUCAGUCUGGGCAGUGAUGACAGAUGCCUUUAAUCCCAGCAUUCAGAAGGCAGCUGCAGGUGGAUCUCUGAAUUUGAAGCCAGCCUGGUCUACAAGUUACAGGACAGCCAAGGCUACACAUGAAACCCUGUCUCAAAAAAAACAAC
rnacentral:lncRNA from 1 species